CUCGUAGGCGGGACGGCAAGUCAGGCGUGAAAUCUUUCGGCUUAACCGGAAGCGUGCGCUUGAAACUGCGGUUCUUGAGUCACAGAGAGGAAGAUGGAAUUCCUGGUGUAGCGGUGGAAUGCGUAGAUAUCAGGAAGAACACCCAUAGCGAAGGCAAUCUUCUGGCUGUGUACUGACGCUGAGGAGCGAAAGCGUGGGGAGCGAACA
rnacentral:rRNA from 1 species